AGUCGACGGAAGGCCCAGCUUGCUGGGUACUCGAGUGGCGAACGGGUGAGUAACACGUGGGUGAUCUGCCCUGCACUCUGGGAUAAGCCUGGGAAACUGGGUCUAAUACCGGAUAUGACCAACUGUCGCAUGGUGGUUGGUGGAAAGCUUUUGCGGUGUGGGAUGGGCCCGCGGCCUAUCAGCUUGUUGGUGGGGUAAUGGCCUACCAAGGCGACGACGGGUAGCCGACCUGAGAGGGUGAUCGGCCACACUGGGACUGAGACACGGCCCAGACUCCUACGGGAGGCAGCAGUGGGGAAUAUUGCACAAUGGGCGCAAGCCUGAUGCAGCGACGCCGCGUGAGGGAUGACGGCCUUCGGGUUGUAAACCUCUUUCACCAGGGACGAAGCGGAAGUGACGGUACCUGGAGAAGAAGCACCGGCCAACUACGUGCCAGCAGCCGCGGUAAUACGUAGGGUGCGAGCGUUGUCCGGAAUUACUGGGCGUAAAGAGCUCGUAGGCGGUUUGUCGCGUCGUCUGUGAAAUUCUGCAACUCAAUUGCAGGCGUGCAGGCGAUACGGGCAGACUUGAGUACUACAGGGGAGACUGGAAUUCCUGGUGUAGCGGUGAAAUGCGCAGAUAUCAGGAGGAANNNCGGUNNNGAAGGCGGGUCUCUGNNNNNNAACUGACGCUGAGGAGCGAAAGCGUGNNNNNCGA
rnacentral:rRNA from 1 species